GACGAACGCUGGCGGCGUGCCUAAUACAUGCAAGUAGAACGCACAGGAUGCACCGUAGUUUACUACACCGUAUUCUGUGAGUUGCGAACGGGUGAGUAACGCGUAGGUAACCUGCCUGGUAGCGGGGGAUAACUAUUGGAAACGAUAGCUAAUACCGCAUAAGAACAUUUACUGCAUGGUAGAUGUUUAAAAGGUGCAAAUGCAUCACUACCAGAUGGACCUGCGUUGUAUUAGCUAGUUGGUGAGGUAACGGCUCACCAAGGCAACGAUACAUAGCCGACCUGAGAGGGUGAUCGGCCACACUGGGACUGAGACACGGCCCAGACUCCUACGGGAGGCAGCAGUAGGGAAUCUUCGGCAAUGGGGGAACCCUGACCGAGCAACGCCGCGUGAGUGAAGAAGGUUUUCGGAUCGUAAAGCUCUGUUGUUAAGGAAGAACGUGUGUGAGAGUGGAAAGUUCACACAGUGACGGUACUUAACCAGAAAGGGACGGCUAACUACGUGCCAGCAGCCGCGGUAAUACGUAGGUCCCGAGCGUUGUCCGGAUUUAUUGGGCGUAAAGCGAGCGCAGGCGGUUAGAUAAGUCUGAAGUGAAAGGCAGUGGCUCAACCAUUGUAGGCUUUGGAAACUGUUUAACUUGAGUGCAGAAGGGGAGAGUGGAAUUCCAUGUGUAGCGGUGAAAUGCGUAGAUAUAUGGAGGAACACCGGUGGCGAAAGCGGCUCUCUGGUCUGUAACUGACGCUGAGGCUCGAAAACGUGGGGAGCGAACAGG
rnacentral:rRNA from 1 species